CAACUGCCUUCCAUUCUCCUAGCCAGUUCUUUCAUCUCAGCAUCUGUAACAUUCAUCCCUUUCAUAGGAGAAGCUCCUGGGAGGUCCAAGGCAGGAAACGUGUCCCCAAGCUUCCUGAUGUGUCUCAUUCGUCCCCCACUGAGAACUCCCCGUAGGCAUUAAGAGUAGACUUUGGAUGAAGUUGGAAAGAGGAGAACCAGGAAAUAAAUAAAUACCUUGAGCUUUCUGAUGGAAAGAUUAAUGAGCAUUUUGCAAGAGAAGUGGAAUGGACCCACUACUGGAGAGAAACCACACUAACAGAGUGGUCAGAGGGGACAACACUAUAACGUUCAGUGUGAAGAAACAAUGGAGUAGGAAAGAGAUUUCUAUCCCUCAAAAGUAUUCUUCAGAAGCUUUGGAUCAUCCCUAUGGAUCAGCAAGUCCAACCCCUGUUGUGGAGGUGCAGUUGGGAAGUGAACUCCCAGCCUCUGGCUUUGCAGCCU